AUGAAAAGUUUGUGUCCAAAAUUCAAACAUUUUGAAUCUGGGUCUCUGUGGUUUCAUUUUUGUUGUCAUUUUGGUCCAAAAGUGAAAUCAGCUCAUAUUUGUCUAAUAGAAUCUUAGUAUUUUAUCCUUUUCCUCAAGGACAAAAUGAUCAUUAUAAUUUUAUUAUAACACAUUAUUAAUUAAAAUAAUAAAAUUAAAUAAUCCCUUUGACCUUAUAAAAGCACAGACUUAUCCCUUUGAAAUGAUAAGGAAAUACUUACAGUAGCACUUGCAUAUUUAAACCAUUAUUGGCUUCAUACAUUACAAUCCUGACCCUACUUACUAGGAGGGUGUUUGGGAUUAUGUUUUGAAGUGAUUAUUUGAUUAUUGCGUUUGUAAAACAUAAAUAAUCUAAAAAAGUGUUUGGUUGAAAAAGUGAUUAUCUGUCUCCAAAACGCAGUUUUGGAGAAGCAUGUACCUACAUGCUUUUUCAAAAACGCAAAAUCUAUUUAGAAAACGUAUAAUCUAUUUUGAGAACGCAACACCAAACACACCCUAGAUAACAAUCAUAAGCGUUUGUUCAAAAUGCACAGCUACAUAACUAAAUAGUAAAUACAACCUCAAACAUCACCACAUCAAUUACUAUCACACAUACUAUAGAAUUCCACAAAACAACAACAAAUCUUCGAAUCAAAAGGAACAAAGACACAAUCAGAACGAUAGAUCAAACGAAAUUAUUAGCGAUCGUAGAGAGAUUGCGAUGAAACUGAUCCAAAACAGGAGAAGCAGUAGUUCGGAUCUGAGAACUCAACGAAGCCGGAGACCUCCAAUCAACGCCAUGGCUCCACCGCGAGCGAACGGAGCGAAAAGCGGCUGAUGCGGUGGUGUGAGAGCAGAACUGCGACGCGACUGGCGACAGUGACGGUGACGGGGAUGACGGCGGCGGAGGAGAUUUAGCGGAAAUUGACGAGUGGAGGCAUGAGGUUGUAGACCUAGAAGCUCGCCGGAGAAGAAUUGAAGAGGGGUGAUAUGCAUGGUGAUUGAUUCUGAUUGGAUUACAGAAGCAUACAGGAGUUAUUGAAGGAUGAUCGGGGAAUCAAUGGCUGUUUGAAAAUAUCAAAAGAGAGAAUUUUGGGGAUAUUGCUUUUAUAAGGUCAAGGGAUUAUUUAAUUUUAUUAUUUUAAUUAAUAAUGUGUUAUAAUAAAAUUAUAAUGACCAUCUUGCCCCUAAUGAAAAUGACAAAAUACCAUAAUUUUAUUACCCAAAUUGAAACCAUAGGGACCCAUAUUCAAAAGGUUUGAGUUUUGGACUAAAAUAACAAAAGUGACCAAACCUUAAGGACCAAAAUGGCAAUUUACUCAAAGUUUGUGUUUAGUGUCAAAUCUGGCCCUAAACUUUCAUUAUUUACACUUCGCCCUCUUGUACAUCCAGAUCAUUAAUUUAAGAGAACAUUCCCGAACAAAAUAUAAAAUAUUUUUGAUAUAAAAAAGAGUAAAUUGCCAUUUUAGUCCCUAAGGUUUGGUCCAAAUUGCAAUUUUAGUCCAAAUACUUUUUUUCUCCUCUGGGUCCCUGACUUUUCCAUUUUCUUGCCAUUUUGAUUACAUUCCCUAACUCAGUCUAAAAAUCUGGUUAUAACCAGGGUAUUUUUGGCAUAACUGUGGUGUAGUGAUAACCAGGGGUAGUUUACAACAUAAUUUAUAAAGUUCAUAAUAAUUUAAUGCUAAAAAUACCCCUGAUUAUAAACUGGUUUUUAGACUAAGUUAGGCAAUAUGAUCAAAAUGGCAAGAAAAAGAAAAAGCCAGGGACUAAGAGGAGAAAAAAAACUAUUUGGACUAAAAUGAUAAUUUGGACAAAAACUCAGGGACUAAAAUGACAAUUUACUCUAUAAAAAAAUAAGU
rnacentral:lncRNA from 1 species